GGCUUCUUCUUUUCUCCUGCUCUUUUUCUUUGCUGGCUUCUCCCUUAUUCACGCGCCGUGGAGGUAAAAUGACAACAUUUCCUUAGCUUCAUUGAGAUCCCUCCCUUUACAUGAUCUCAAGGUUUUUUGGGUGAAGUUCUGGUUUUAGUUGACCUACUGUUCCUUUUUUUUUCCCCCUGUUCUUACUGUCCAUUGUCUAUCAAUUUCUUUUGUGCUUGCUAACCCACACGGCAGUUAAUGCUUGAUUGAUAAUUGAUAGAGCCAGUUUCUUCUCCUUUCUUUGUCAAUUUCUUUUGCACUUGCUUUGAGAGUUAGUAGAGGGAUGGGUUAUACCUAUCCUGCUAUUCAUGCUUUGUAACUACCAUUAGCCCUCUGCUUGAUUGACAAUUAGUGGAAGGAUAAGUUGUUUGAGGCGUGAUUUAUGGUGGAAAGCAGGUCUUUGCAUUUCAGGCUGGAGGAAGCAAGCUUUGGCCUUGCUGCUGAAGGAAAUGGAAGGGCAAAAGAAACAACCAUAUGUUUUUCCUUUUAAUGUAUUGAUUGACACUCUUUGUAAGAAAGGGUUAGUCUCAAAUGCUCGAAAUCUAUUAUUUAUAUAAAUGCAACAUUUGAUAAAUAAAAAUCCCAGCUAUAAAGGAUAAAUUUCAACAACUAUCCCUGAACUUAUAUGGUUGUAACACUACAGUCCUUAAACUUUAAAACUAACAUAAAACUCGCUAAACUUUUAAAUUUUGCAUAGUAAAAUCUCUCUGACUUUCAAUUACUAAUUUUUCAGUUAGAAACUGAUGUGUAUAGCUCUCGCAUGACACUUAGUCAACAUUUCUUUCUCCUCUCUUAAGCAAAGUGUAAAAUUAUUCCCUUUAUGCAUGAAAAAUUAUUCUG
rnacentral:misc_RNA from 1 species